rnacentral:rRNA from 1 species
UACGGGGGGGGCAAGCGUUGUUCGGAAUUACUGGGCGUAAAGGGUUUGUAGGUGGCCGGCUAAGUCAGACGUGAAAUCCCUCAGCUUAACUGGGGAACUGCGUCUGAAACUGAUCGGCUCGAGUGCAGGAGAGGAACGCGGAAUUCCAGGUGUAGCGGUGAAAUGCGUAGAUAUCAGGAGGAACACCUGCGGUGUAGACGGCUUACUGGACCAUAACUGACGCUGAGGCACGAAAGCGUGGGUAGCAAACAGG